AUUCCAGCUCCAAUAGCGUAUAUUAAAGUUGUUGCAGUUAAAAAGCUCGUAGUUGGAUUUGUGGUGUACUUCGGCGGCCCGUCACUAUGUGAUGGAGCUUGCUGAAGUCGCCAUCCUUGGGUGGAUCCUGUGUGGCAUUAAGUUGUCGUGCAGGGGAUGCCCAUCGUUUACUGUGAAAAAAUUAGAGUGUUCAAAGCAGGCUUAUGCCGUUGAAUAUAUUAGCAUGGAAUAAUAAGGUAGGACCUUGGUACUAUUUUGUUGGUUUGCGCACCAAGGUAAUGAUUAAUAGGGACAGUUGGGGGUAUUCGUAUUUCAUUGUCAGAGGUGAAAUUCUUGGAUUUUUGAAAGACGAACUACUGCGAAAGCAUUUACCAAGGAUGUUUUCAUUA
rnacentral:rRNA from 1 species